rnacentral:tRNA from 1 species
GGCGCGGUAGCUCAGAUGGUUAGAGCACAGGAUUCAUAACCCUGAGGUCGGCGGUUCAAGUCCGCCCCGCGCUA